rnacentral:lncRNA from 1 species
CUUUCGGAGCUGUGCGGCACGCUGAGCAGGAAUGGCAAUGUGGACCCCUGUGAUGGGACAUCUUGUGGGAUCUUACAGCCAGAUCUGUGGCAAAGGAGGAUGAAGGCUUAUGAGGACUCGUCAGGAAGCUGGAUAACAGAACGAGCGCAAUGUGCUAGAAUAGAAGACCAGAAAAUGAAAUGGUGGAGUUUGAGGCUGGAUAGACAGUUUGAAAGGGCUCCUGUGACAAGUGGACAUGCAGUGACUGUACCUUUUGUACCUUUGUUUCUGAGGUGCCUGGAUGGAGGCUCAAAUAGAAGAUGGUGUCAGAUAUAUUGUGUUGUCAAAAUUUUGCCAUUAAAGUGUAUUAUAACAUUAA